GAAUAGGUAUGUUCUCUGAUUUAGAAAAAAUCAUAUUUUACCUUAUAGAUGGUUCAUGUUGAAAUGUUUGCUAGCUAGUGCUGAACCUCCAGAGGAGGUCUCCUGUUCUGACGAGUGGGGGUGACUUGGAGCAGCUGCGCUUGUGGGAGGGCAGUAGUUGUCAGCAUGUUAAAUGCAUGUAUACACUCGUUCCAGGAUCCUGCUGCUGGGACUGUAUCUUAAUGGUAUGUGUUAAUGAGUCCACAGAAAAGGUGCUCAUUGCAACUUUUUUUUAAAGUGAAAAGAGAAGGAUCUAAUGGGGCUGUUUAUUAACAAGGACCACUUACAUUAGUUAUCGCCCUUUCAUACAGUGAAUGGUGCUUUGUGGAGCUCUGGGUGCUAGGAAGAUAUUGCCAUAAC
rnacentral:lncRNA from 1 species